rnacentral:lncRNA from 1 species
UUAUACAUUGUUAUAAUGAUUUUGAGAUUGAAAUGAUGUUUUUUUUGGUGGUUUGGAUAUGUAUGGAUGAUUGUAAGCUUUUUUUAAACAGGUUUAGAUUUUUGGAUAUCUAUUUUUAAAGGAAACUCUGCAGAAAUUUCUUGAAAUUAGUAGCUACUAGCUUGAUAUUUUGGUGGUUGGAUAUGUAUGGAUGAUUGUAAGCUUUUUUUAAACAGGUUUAGAUUUUUGGAUAUCUAUUUUUAAAGGAAACUCUGCCGAAAUUUCUUGAAAUUAGUAGCUACUAGCUUGAUAUUUUGGCGGUUG